CGGGUGAGUAACGCGUGAGGAACCUGCCUCAAAGAGGGGGACAACAGUUGGAAACGACUGCUAAUACCGCAUAAGCCCACGGGUCGGCAUCGACCAGAGGGAAAAGGAGCAAUCCGCUUUGAGAUGGCCUCGCGUCCGAUUAGCUAGUUGGUGAGGUAACGGCCCACCAAGGCGACGAUCGGUAGCCGGACUGAGAGGUUGAACGGCCACAUUGGGACUGAGACACGGCCCAGACUCCUACGGGAGGCAGCAGUGGGGAAUAUUGCACAAUGGGGGAAACCCUGAUGCAGCGACGCCGCGUGGAGGAAGAAGGUCUUCGGAUUGUAAACUCCUGUUGUUGAGGAAGAUAAUGACGGUACUCAACAAGGAAGUGACGGCUAACUACGUGCCAGCAGCCGCGGUAAAACGUAGGUCACAAGCGUUGUCCGGAAUUACUGGGUGUAAAGGGAGCGCAGGCGGGAAGACAAGUUGGAAGUGAAAUCCAUGGGCUCAACCCAUGAACUGCUUUCAAAACUGUUUUUCUUGAGUAGUGCAGAGGUAGGCGGAAUUCCCGGUGUAGCGGUGGAAUGCGUAGAUAUCGGGAGGAACACCAGUGGCGAAGGCGGCCUACUGGGCACCAACUGACGCUGAGGCUCGAAAGUGUGGGUAGCAAACAGGAUUAGAUACCCUGGUAGUCCACACCGUAAACGAUGAUUACUAGGUGUUGGAGGAUUGACCCCUUCAGUGCCGCAGUUAACACAAUAAGUAAUCCACCUGGGGAGUACGACCGCAAAGGUUGAAACUCAGAGGAAUUGACGGGGGGCCCGCACAAGCAGUGGAGUAUGUGGGUUUAAUUCGACGCA
rnacentral:rRNA from 1 species